GACAGAGGGUGCAAACGUUGCUCGGAAUUACUGGGCGUAAAGCGCGUGUAGGCGGUCACGCAAGUCAGGUGUGAAAGCCCAGGGCUCAACCCUGGAAGUGCACAUGAUACUACGUGGCUGGAGUACUGAAGAGGAGAGCGGAAUUCCCGGUGUAGAGGUGAAAUUCGUAGAUAUUGGGAAGAACACCGGUGGCGAAGGCGGCGACCUGGUCCUUUUACUGACGCUGAGGCGCGAAAGCGUGGGGAGCAAACAGG
rnacentral:rRNA from 1 species